rnacentral:rRNA from 1 species
CCUACGGGAGGCAGCAGUGGGGAAUAUUGGGCAAUGGACGCAAGCCUGACCCAGCAACGCCGCGUGAAUGAUGAAGGCCUUCGGGUUGUAAACUUCUUUUCUCAGGGACGAAGCCAGUGACGGUACCUGAGGAAUAAGCCACGGCUAACUACGUGCCAGCAGCCGCGGUAAUACGUAGGUGGCAAGCGUUAUCCGGAUUUACUGGGGGUAAAGGGUGUGUAGGCGGGUAAGUAAGUCAGCUGUGAAAACCCUGGGCUCAACCUGUGGCCUGCAUGCAAAACUGUUUUUCUUGAGUACUGGAGAGGCAGGUGGAAUUCCUAGUGUAGCGGUGAAAUGCGUAGAUAUUAGGAGGAACACCAGGGGCGAAGGCGAUUUGCUGGACAGCAACUGACGCUGAGGCGCGAAAGCGUGGGGAGCAAACAGGAUUAGAUACCCUUGUAGUC